UACAGAGGGUGCAAGCGUUAAUCGGAAUUACUUGGCGUAAAGCGCGCGUAGGUGGUUUGUUAAGCUAGAUGUGAAAGCCCAGGGCUCAACCUUGGGACUGCAUUUAGAACUGGCAAGCUAGAGUACGGCAGAGGAGUGUGGAAUUUCCGGUGUAGCGGUGAAAUGCGUAGAGAUCGGAAGGAACACCAGUGGCGAAGGCGACACUCUGGGCUGAUACUGACGCUGAGGUGCGAAAGCGUGGGGAGCAAACAGG
rnacentral:misc_RNA from 1 species